AAAAAGACAAACCCUGGGUUUUCGUAUCCAACUUUGACUGUCCGUUUUAUAUGAAAUUUUUUUAUAAUUCGUAUUUUUAUUGUUGUUAGAUGAUAAAACAUGAUUAAUAUUUUAUGCGUGACUUGUCUUUUUAAUUUUUUUCAUAUUUUUUUCAAAUAAGACGGACGGUCAAACGUUGGACACGGAAACC
rnacentral:pre_miRNA from 1 species